rnacentral:tmRNA from 1 species
GGGGAUGAUCGGGUUCGACAGAGGCCCAAGUGUGUAGCUAGAGCGUGGUAGCUCAAUCCGGAAAAUGCCUACAACAAACGCCGGAUGUUGCACAGCAAGUCUUUGGAAGCGAGUUCGAUUCUCGCCAUCUCCACCA